AGAGUUUGAUCAUGGCUCAGGAUGAACGCUAGCGGCAGGCUUAAUACAUGCAAGGCGAGGGGGCAGCAAUGUCACCGUCGUACGGGUGCGUAACGCGUAUGCAACCUACUUUUUACUGGGGGAUAGCCCGGGGAAACCCGGAUUAAUACCGCAUAAGACAUUUGGAUCACCUGAUUUGAUUUGUUAAAGAUUUAUUGGUAAGAAAUGGGCAUGCGUUCGAUUAGCUAGUUGGCAGGGUAACGGCCUACCAAGGCGACGAUCGAUAGGGGAGCUGAGAGGUUGAUCCCCCACACGGGCACUGAGAUACGGGCCCGACUCCUACGGGAGGCAGCAGUAGGGAAUAUUGGGCAAUGGAUGCAAGUCUGACCCAGCCAUGCCGCGUGCCGGAUGAAGGCCCUCAGGGUUGUAAACGGCUUUUAUUCGGGAAGAAGAGCAGGGAUGCGUCCUUGUGUGACGGUACCGAAUGAAUAAGCACCGGCUAACUCCGUGCCAGCAGCCGCGGUAAU
rnacentral:rRNA from 1 species